rnacentral:misc_RNA from 1 species
CGCGGCCGGCACCCGCACUCGGCGUCGACCACCGGCGCGUACCGGCGGCGCCGCCCCACCGGGAACUGCAACUGCCUCCCGCCGCCGCGCGCUCUGGUUGACAUCCCGGGCCGUUUGGUGUGCUCUGCCUCAGCUGCUAGUCGUCGUCGCUUGUUGCUUGCACGGUGCCCUGCUGCCUCAGUUGUAGAGGAAGAAUCUCUCUACAAGUGGCUGCUGCCUAUCUUGCAUGCAAGUGUGUGGAUGUUGGUAGGCAAAGGAUCGGAGGGGGGUUUUGUGGUUUUUAUAUACGUAGUACAUCUCAUUAAUUUGAUUUGACAAGCACGGCGGAUUAGGAAGGG